rnacentral:rRNA from 1 species
CCUACGGGAGGCAGCAGUGGGGAAUUGUUCACAAUGGGCGCAAGCCUGAUGACGCAACGCCGCGUGGGGGAUGAAGGUCUUCGGAUCGUAAACCCCUGUCGAAUGGGACGAAUAGCUUUCGGGUUAAUACCCCGGAGGAAUGACGGUACCGUUAAAGGAAGCCACGGCUAACUCUGUGCCAGCAGCCGCGGUAAUACAGAGGUGGCAAGCGUUGUUCGGAAUUACUGGGCGUAAAGGGCGCGUAGGCGGCCAUCUAAGUCAGACGUGAAAUCCCCCGGCUCAACCUGGGAACUGCGUCUGAUACUGGAAGGCUAGAGUUUGGGAGAGGGAUGUAGAAUUCCAGGUGUAGCGGUGAAAUGCGUAGAUAUCUGGAGGAAUACCGGUGGCGAAGGCGGCAUCCUGGACCAAUACUGACGCUGAGGCGCGAAAGCUAGGGGAGCAAACGGGGAUUAGAUACCCCGGGUAGUCCUAGCCCUAAACGAUGAAUACUUGGUGUGGCGGGUAUCGAUCCCUGCCGUGCCGAAGCUAACGCAUUAAGUAUUCCGCCUGGGGAUACGGUCGCAAGGCUGAACUUAAANGAAUUGACGG